GUGGGGAAUAUUGCACAAUGGGGGAAACCCUGAUGCAGCGACGCCGCGUGAGCGAUGAAGUAUUUCGGUAUGUAAAGCUCUAUCAGCAGGGAAGAAAAUGACGGUACCUGACUAAGAAGCCCCGGCUAACUACGUGCC
rnacentral:rRNA from 1 species